rnacentral:lncRNA from 13 species
CAAGGAAAAGCAGCAGAAACGUGGCUGACAUCUUGACUAAAAGGCUCGGCAAAUAGUGCCAAGAAUUUUGUCCUCCAUUCACAGGACUCUGACAGGCAAAUGAGAUGUCUUCGGGUCCAAUCAUCGGAGUGACAAGGCUGCAUGUCCAGGAAUCAGAAAAACCCAGAGUUGGAGUCUCAGGGCUCCCUCCAUGUUACUUUAUAUGAGAAUUGCUGUCUGUGGAAAGUGAGACACAGCCCGUCAAAGCCACCAAUGAGGACAAAGGCAGUACACUGAAGAGUCGGGCUUCCAUUCCAGGAGUCUGGGGAGUGUGAACUACCACGGAGACUACAUGGAGCGCAUGGCGCCUGUUUGGAGAGGCUCCAUAACCACCUGCUGUGAGCAGGACAUGCUUCCUCAGCAUCUGAGUUAGGGUCAAGGGGUCAACCUGAACUGAUAAGCCCCAAUGACCAUUUCUUUCAGGCUGGGCUUGGGACCUCAGAGGACCCCAUGACUAAGCGCUGGCCCUGCGUGUGCUGAGUCAGCACAGCCAUCCUCCUGCCAAGGGGCACACAUCCCACUGAAACGUGAAGUUUCCUCUUUCAAGUGAGUCCAUUUGGAGCACAGUCUUCAGUAAAUGGAGAAGCAGCAGGUACUGCCACAGCAAACUCAAGCUGGUCUGUACUUGGUGGAAGUGUAGACACCCCAAAUUGGUCCAUCCCUGUCUUUCCUGAGUUUGAGGUGGAGAAA